CAGCAGCCGCGGUAAUACGGAGGAUGCAAGCGUUACUCGGAAUCACUGGGCGUAAAGAGCACGUAGGCUGGAUGGAAAGUCAGAUGUGAAAUCCUACAGCUUAACUGUAGAACUGCAUUUGAAACUUCUAAUCUAGAGUAUGGGAGGGGAAGAUGGAAUUAGUGGUGUAGGGGUAAAAUCCGUAGAUAUAACUAGGAAUAUCGAAAGCGAAGGCGAUCUUCUGGAACAUAACUGACUCUAAGACGUGAAAGCGUGGGGAGCAAACAGGAUUAGAUACCCUGGUAGUCCACGCCCUAAACGAUGAACAUUAGUCGUCGGGAUGCUAGUCAUUUCUGUGAUGCACUUAACAGAUUAAGUGAUCCGCCUGGGGAGUACGGUCGCAAGAUUAAAACUCAAAGGAAUAGACGGGGACCCGCACAAGUGGUGGAGCAUGUGGUUUAAUUCGAAGAUACGCGAAAAACCUUACCUAGCCUUGACAUUGAUAAAACCUUAUAGAGAUAGAGAUUUGCUCUUCGGAGUUUUUGAAAACAGGUGCUGCACGGCUGUCGUCAGCUCGUGUCGUGAGAUGUUGGGUUAAGUCCCACAACGAGCGCAACCCUCGUCAUUAGUUGCUAGCAGGUUCAGCUGAGAACUCUAAGAAGACUGCCUACGCAAGGAGGAGGAAGGUGAGGACGACGUCAAGUCAUCAUGGCCCUUAUGGCUAGGGCUACACACGUGCUACAAUGGGGCGUACAGAGUGUCGCGAUACCGCGAGGUGGAGCUAAUCUCUUAAACUGUCUCUCAGUUCGGAUUGUAGUCUGCAACUCGACUGCAUGAAGCUGGAAUCGCUAGUAAUCGUGGAUCAGCAAUGCUACGGUGAAUACGUUCCCGGGUCUUGUGCUCACCGCCCGUCACACCAUGGGAGUUGAUUUUACCCGAAAUCGGGAAGCUAACCCGCAAGGGGGGCUACCGCUUACGGCGGAUUCAGUGACUGGGGUGAAGUCGUAACAAGGUAACCGUA
rnacentral:rRNA from 1 species